rnacentral:lncRNA from 1 species
GUAACAUUCUCUUAUCAAAAUGCUUAUCAUUCUGCAGCAGUAGCUUUGCAGAAAUUUUGGAGUUUGAAGGGCCUUCGAAGAGGUCCAAUCAUUUUUAAAGGACUCUGAAAAAUGAUAACAAAUUCUGAAGCAACAAGAUCAUUAGCUUUUUGUUCUGGAAGAGGAGGAAAAUCCAUUUGUAUGGAGGUGGUAGAGGAAGUUGUGGUUCAGGUGGUAGAGGACAGACCUUCAAACUUUACAGGCAACACUAGUGUUUGCUGUGCCACAGAAGUGUUGAAUAGGCCAUCUUCUACUGUCCAUAAGAUCCUCCAGAAUAUCUACAGUAUUAUCCAUACAAACUUUCACUUGUUCAGCAGUUGUUUCCACAUGAUUUUGAUGCAUGAC